UACGGAGGGUGCAAGCGUUGUCCGGAAUCACUGGGCGUAAAGGGCGCGUAGGCGGCUCAUGAAGGCUGUGGUGAAAGUCCGGGGCUCAACCUCGGAUCGGCCGUGGCGACUCGUGGGCUGGAGCACUGUAGAGGCGGGUGGAAUUCCGGGUGUAGCGGUGGAAUGCGUAGAGAUCCGGAAGAACACCGGUGGCGAAGGCGGUUCUCUGGGCAUUACCUGACGCUGAGGAGCGAAAGUGUGGGGAGCGAACAGG
rnacentral:rRNA from 1 species